UUAUAUUGUCCUUCAGCAUUUCUAUCAUCAGUUUUGUGUGAGGGUAGACAAAUUGCUCGAAGUAAAAGCCUGCUAAUGUUGUGGGUUUUCUUGUCUUCAGAUCUUGCAAAGACUUUUUGGAUCUGAUUUUCACCAGAGUUACAAGUGUCAUCAUCAGCUGUGCCUGACUGUGUAAAAUGCUGGUUAAGAAUAGGUGCAAGCCUUGGUUUUCCCAGGCAAUAUUUUUGGAGCCUUAGGGAAGUACUGUACCUUUUGAAUGAUGUUCAGGGAACUGAGGGUGCUCAACAUCAUUUGCUUCUGAAGGACAGCCUCAGGUUGGGACUCUCCACAGCCCUGAGUUCUGGACCUACCAUUACCACCCUCUCUAGGAUAUGCCACCACUCAGACUUAGAGUGAUCUUCCAGUCUAUCAGAAGCAUCCCUAAUGGCUGGGAUAUGUUGCUGUAGUCAUGCACUAUAAUGAUGGCUUACAAAACAGGUACAGAGUACUUCAUUAUGUGCACGAACAGAAAUGCUUAAAUGGAUGAAGCAGCUAUUUACGUCUGAUAGGAGCUAAGUGGGACAUUAAAUUAAUGCCAAAUAAGUG